UCGAAAGAUGUGCUACUACCGCAUAUUCUCUGAGGAGGAAAGUAGGGGAUCGAAAGACCUUACGCUUUUGGAGCGGCCGAUGUCUGAUUAGCUAGUUGGUAAGGUAAUGGCUUACCAAGGCGACGAUCAGUAGUUGGUCUGAGAGGACGGCCAGCCACACUGGGACUGAGACACGGCCCAGACUCCUACGGGCGGCAGCAGUGGGGAAUUUUGGACAAUGGGCGCAAGCCUGAUCCAGCAAUGCCGCGUGAGUGAAGAAGGCCUUCGGGUUGUAAAGCUCUCUCAGUCGAGAAGAAAAGGGUGUGACUAAUAAGCAUAACUCAUGACGGUAUCGACAGAAGAAACACCGGCUAACUACGUGCCAGCAGCCGCGGUAAUACGUAAGGUGCGAGCGUUAAUCGGAAUUACUGGGCGUAAAGGGUGCGCAGGCGGUUCGGUAAGUCAGAUGUGAAAGCCCCGGGCUUAACCUGGGAACUGC
rnacentral:rRNA from 1 species